GGCGGAAUAGAGGGGGCAAACUAUUAGACUCUAACCAAUCCACCGCCCCUCGUGCCUCUCCUUGGCAACCUCAUAGGGUUAUGGCUGUCAUGACAACAUCAGACCCUCUUUUCCUCUUCUCCACCUCUCGUACUCGACGGACGCAAUCGGGUUGCCCAGCGGGGAAAUUUUAGUAGGUGUUGACUGCUUCGGAGCUUAUUUCUUCUCUCCUCCAUGCGUACAGAUCAUGACGAUUUGGAAGGUUAGCUGUAACUAUCUCUGUUAUUUCUCGUGUAUGGAAGUGUUCGUCAAACCCUCGAUUGGAAGAAGGUGACCGUGCCCCGAUGGAUGAACCAAUUGCUUGCGUCGGUCGCAGAGGAGUUGGUGUCGAGGAAGGAUGGCUGCAGACGCAACGUCAAUUGACUCGGACGAGGACAUGUCUCUGCUGAGUGAACGUGUCAUGUCGUUUUGUCCGAUUCAACGCAAGCUUUGUGUUCUUUUUC